UACGGAGGGUGCAAGCGUUAUCCGGAUUUACUGGGUUUAAAGGGUGCGGAGGUGGACAGGAAAGUCAGUGGUGAAAUCUUCGAGCUUAACUCGGAAACUGCCAUUGAUACUAUUUGUCUUGAAUAAUUUGGAGGUAAGCGGAAUAUGUCAUGUAGCGGUGAAAUGCUUUGAUAUGACAUAGAACACCAACUGCGAAGGCAGCUUACUACACAGUUAUUGACACUGAGGCACGAAAGCGUGGGGAUCAAACAGG
rnacentral:rRNA from 1 species